rnacentral:rRNA from 1 species
GGACGAACGCUGGCGGCGUGCUUAACACAUGCAAGUCGAACGGGAGUAUUGAAGAAGCUUGCUUUAGAGAUACUUUAGUGGCGGACGGGCGAGUAACGCGUGAGGAGCUGUCCAAUGCAGGGGGACAACAGUUGGAAACGACUGCUAAUACCCCAUAAGCCGAGAGGUAAAAGGAUUUAUCCGGCAAUGGAGGUACUCGCGUCCUAUCAGCUAGUAGGUGAGGUAACGGCUCACCUAGGCGAAGACGGGUAGCCGGCCUGAGAGGGCGAACGGCCACACUGGAACUGAGAUACGGUCCAGACUCCUACGGGAGGCAGCAGUGGGGAAUAUUGGGCAAUGGGCGAAAGCCUGAACUAGCAACGCCGCGUGUGCGAAGAAGGCCUUCGGGUCGUAAAGCACUUUUUGAGAGGAUGAGGAAGGACGGUACUCUCAGAAUAAGUCUCGGCUAACUACGUGCCAGCAGCCGCGGUAACACGUAGGAGGCAAACGUUAUCCGGAUUUACUGGGCGUAAAGCGCGUGUAGGUGGUUUGGUAAGUAGGGCGUGAAAGCUCCUGGCUCAACUGGGAGAGGACGUUCUAAACUACCAAGCUUGAGGAUGGUAGAGGGAGGUGGAAUUCCGGGUGUAGCGGUGGAAUGCGCAGAUAUCCGGAGGAACACCAGUGGCGAAGGCGGCCUCCUGGACCACUCCUGACACUCAGACGCGAAAGCUAGGGUAGCAAACGGGAUUAGAGACCCCGGUAGUCCUAGCCCUAAACGAUGUAGACUUGGCGUCGGUGGUUUAAUCGCCAUCGGUGUCGUAGCUAACGCGAUAAGUCUACCGCCUGGGGACUACGGCCGCAAGGUUAAAACUCAAAGGAAUUGACGGGUCCCCGCACAAGCAGCGGAGCGUGUGGUUUAAUUCGAUGCUACACGAAGAACCUUACCUGGGUUUGACAUAGAGGUAGUAGGGAAGCGAAAGCGGACCGACCCUUCGGGGAGCCUCUACAGGUGUUGCAUGGCUGUCGUCAGCUCGUGUCGUGAGAUGUUCGGUUAAGUCCGCUAACGAGCGCAACCCUCGCUGUGUGUUACAAGUGUCACACGGUACUGCCGAUAUUAAGUCGGAGGAAGGUGGGGAUGACGUCAAGUCAGCAUGACCUUUAUAUCCAGGGCUACACACACGCUACAAUGGCCAGUACAAUGGGUUGCCAAGCCGCGAGGCGGAGCCAAUCCUAAAAAGCUGGCCUCAGUUCAGAUUGCAGUCUGCAACUCGACUGCAUGAAGUUGGAGUUGCUAGUAACCGCAGGUCAGCAAUACUGCGGUGAAUACGUUCCCGGGGAU